rnacentral:rRNA from 1 species
GAUGAACGCUGGCGGCGUGCUUAACACAUGCAAGUCGAACGGUGAACGAGGGAGCUUGCUCCCUCCGGAUCAGUGGCGAACGGGUGAGUAACACGUGAGCAAUCUGCCCUGGACUCUGGGAUAAGCGCUGGAAACGACGUCUAAUACCGGAUACGAGGCGUGGGGGCAUCCCCAACGCCUGGAAAGAACUUCGGUCCAGGAUGAGCUCGCGGCCUAUCAGGUAGUUGGUGAGGUAACGGCUCACCAAGCCGACGACGGGUAGCCGGCCUGAGAGGGUGGCCGGCCACACUGGGACUGAGACACGGCCCAGACUCCUACGGGAGGCAGCAGUGGGGAAUAUUGCACAAUGGGCGCAAGCCUGAUGCGGCAACGCCGCGUGAGGGACGACGGCCUUCGGGUUGUAAACCUCUUUUAGCAGGGAAGAAGCGAAAGUGACGGUACCUGCAGAAAAAGCACCGGCUAACUACGUGCCAGCCGCCGCGGUAACAC